CAUGUUUAGAGAGGACUGGUGAGAAGGGUUUGGCACAGCAGGAGAGCAUUACAGAGGAGUUUCACAGCAGAUGAAGGAUGGUCUGAUGCAAUAAAGUGUUUGAUACCUGCAGAGUUGAUCAGGAUUUUUACAUCCAGCAGGAUGGGGAAGGUCAGACGAUUUAUUGGAGGACAAUUAAGCAUUUUGUGCGUCAGGUCUCAGCUGCAGAAAUCCAGUUGACAAAGGGGAGAAGGAUGGGAUCUGUUUCAGGUCCAGGGCUGCGUUCAAAACACCAUUAAACUUUCAUCUCCAUGACCUUGAAUUCAACCAUGAAUUACAGAACCUCUCCUGCUGCAGACGUUUCAUUUCACCUCUAAAUGGAAACAGAUAUGUAUGCAGGUCUGUGAGGAAUUGUGAAAUAAGGGUCAUGAAUAAAAUAUAAGGAACCCAUGCAGCAAAAUGUGUGUUUGUUAUACAUGCAUGGAGAGAUAAUCACAAAAGCUUCUGCCUCAAAAACAUGAAAAUUCUGUCUCAUGAGGAAUUACCUUUUCGUUAUUUGAUACCUGGAUGUUUUAAUUUUGACCUUCCAAACAAUUUCAGAUGAAAAUAAGCUGCAUGGUAUCUCUGAUGUGAAUUUGAAAUAAACUGACAUUUAAAAAUA